rnacentral:rRNA from 1 species
GACGAACGCUGGCGGCGUGCUUAACACAUGCAAGUCGAACGGUGAUCUUGGGAGCUUGCUCUUGGGUGAUCAGUGGCGAACGGGUGAGUAACACGUGAGUAACCUGCCCCUGACUCUGGAAUAACUUCGGGAAACCGAAGCUAAUACCGGAUACGACACAGAGCUGCAUGGCUACUGUGUGGAAAGUUUUUCGGUUGGGGAUGGACUCGCGGCCUAUCAGCUUGUUGGUGAGGUAAAGGCUCACCAAGGCGACGACGGGUAGCCGGCCUGGGAGGGCGAUCGGCCACACUGGGACUGAGACACGGCCCAGACUCCUACGGGAGGCAGCAGUGGGGAAUAUUGCACAAUGGGCGAAAGCCUGAUGCAGCGACGCCGCGUGAGGGAUGAAGGCCUUCGGGUUGUAAACCUCUUUCAGUAGGGAAGAAGCGCAAGUGACGGUACCUACAGAAGAAGCACCGGCUAACUACGUGCCAGCCGCCGCGGUAAUAC